rnacentral:rRNA from 1 species
UGCAGUCGAGCGGACAGAAGGGAGCUUGCUCCCGGAUGUUAGCGGCGGACGGGUGAGUAACACGUGGGUAACCUGCCUGUAAGACUGGGAUAACUCCGGGAAACCGGAGCUAAUACCGGAUAGUUCCUUGAACCGCAUGGUUCAAGGAUGAAAGACGGUUUCGGCUGUCACUUACAGAUGGACCCGCGGCGCAUUAGCUAGUUGGUGGGGUAAUGGCUCACCAAGGCGACGAUGCGUAGCCGACCUGAGAGGGUGAUCGGCCACACUGGGACUGAGACACGGCCCAGACUCCUACGGGAGGCAGCAGUAGGGAAUCUUCCGCAAUGGACGAAAGUCUGACGGAGCAACGCCGCGUGAGUGAUGAAGGUUUUCGGAUCGUAAAGCUCUGUUGUUAGGGAAGAACAAGUGCGAGAGUAACUGCUCGCACCUUGACGGUACCUAACCAGAAAGCCACGGCUAACUACGUGCCAGCAGCCGCGGUAAUACGUAGGUGGCAAGCGUUGUCCGGAAUUAUUGGGCGUAAAGGGCUCGCAGGCGGUUUCUUAAGUCUGAUGUGAAAGCCCCCGGCUCAACCGGGGAGGGUCAUUGGAAACUGGGAAACUUGAGUGCAGAAGAGGAGAGUGGAAUUCCACGUGUAGCGGUGAAAUGCGUAGAGAUGUGGAGGAACACCAGUGGCGAAGGCGACUCUCUGGUCUGUAACUGACGCUGAGGAGCGAAAGCGUGGGGAGCGAACAGGAUUAGAUACCCUGGUAGUCCACGCCGUAAACGAUGAGUGCUAAGUGUUAGGGGGUUUCCGCCCCUUAGUGCUGCAGCUAACGCAUUAAGCACUCCGCCUGGGGAGUACGGUCGCAAGACUGAAACUCAAAGGAAUUGACGGGGGCCCGCACAAGCGGUGGAGCAUGUGGUUUAAUUCGAAGCAACGCGAAGAACCUUACCAGGUCUUGACAUCCUCUGACAACCCUAGAGAUAGGGCUUUCCCUUCGGGGACAGAGUGACAGGUGGUGCAUGGUUGUCGUCAGCUCGUGUCGUGAGAUGUUGGGUUAAGUCCCGCAACGAGCGCAACCCUUGAUCUUAGUUGCCAGCAUUCAGUUGGGCACUCUAAGGUGACUGCCGGUGACAAACCGG